ACAAGUGUACAGCAAUGGACGAAGUGUAUCGGUGCUGCAGCACAAGACCUGUCAAGCUGUAGAGUAUGUGGAGCUAUAGGUGGGCUGAAACAAGGAACGAACUAGCACCAUGUUAGUUAUAAAAGCGAGCUGAAUAAACGCUCAACGGUGGUACUGUGCUGGUCCUAGCCUAGACCGUGCUAGAGACGCGAGCCUGGACACAAAGGGAAAACACAGCACACCACUAGAAACAAAAUGAGCAGCCCUACUGGAAACAAAAAGAACAACAAUCCCCUUCUUUUGAUUUUUUUUCUUUUUUCUUUCUUUCUUUCUUUUUUUUCUUUUUUUGGGGAACCUCAAAACCUGAUUAUAUAAACGAAAUAGUACAAAAUAUCACUUCACCACUCUCACCCUCUCACUAGAGUAAGGCUGAACCUCAAAAUUCAAUAUAUCUAGCACAAGUAUGAAGUGCUAUCUUUCCUUUUGGAUCACGUUGACGGAAACGCAGAAUAGACAAACAAGUGGCUGCACCUAUUAUCAAGAUCUACUCAAAUUCCAACCCACAAUAGAUUGGACGCAGUUGUGACUAGAUGGUGACAAGAACUCAAAACUCUAAAGGACUAAACUAAAACCAGCACUGGACACGACCGAAGCAAACACUCAUUCAACCAGCCCUAACUAAGUAGUACUAGCCACGGCACAAAGGAUUUAUAGGAUUAUGAAAACAAAUCUGCUAUAUUUUUUGUCUUUUUUUUGGACUAUAGGAAAAACAAACACGAAGAAUUGGAAAUCUCUCACCGAUAAACCUUGCUCUGAUUACCAACUGAUGUGAACCCACGAGGGUUUUCGCCUGAUCUUUCGAUGAGAGGCGCUGGAUAACUCGAUUAGUGAAUGGAGAUGACGUUCACGGCCCGACUACAGCCCUCAAGACUGCGCCUUAGCAACCGAUACACCGCCUCCAAUGGCUUUCACGAUCUUGUGGAGCGCAACACCCGGCCACUAGGACACUCGUCCUGCAAGCAAUCAAAGAACCAGCAAGAACAAGUAGAACAAGUACUAAAUUACCAGAUGUAAAUGAAGGUUUCAAACUCAAUCUCUAAUGAAGUGGGGUUUCGAAAACAAGAAGACGGGCGGCUGGAUCAGCACGCGCGUUUACAAGCAAGUAGCGAAGGCUAAACUUUAUCUAAUCAAAACCCAGUUGUUCAUGGCGGCUCUAGAUGUAAAUAAAUAGAGGGGAGGACGACCAAAGGGGUGCUAGAGUCGUCCUCCAACCCUAGGACGCGUCCCUAAUGGACUCAACUUGAUACAUGGGCCAUUGGUCCAAAAUAGGGUGACG
rnacentral:lncRNA from 1 species